GCGCCCUUAGCUCAGUUGGUUAGAGCAUCUCGUUUACACCGAGAGGGUCGGGAGUUCGAGUCUCUCAGGGCGCACCA
rnacentral:tRNA from 2 species